rnacentral:rRNA from 1 species
UGAGUAACCUGUCCUCGGCACCGGGAUAGCCCGGGGGAAACCCGGAUCAAUACCGGAUGGCCUUUCGAGUCUUCGGGCUCGUCAGAAAGGGUAGCUUCGGCCUCCGGCCGAGGAGGGACUCGCGGCGGAUUAGCUUGUUGGUGGGGUAACGGCUCACCAAGGCGACGAUCCGUAGCUGGUCUGAGAGGACGAUCAGCCACACUGGGACUGAGACACGGCCCAGACUCCUACGGGAGGCAG